rnacentral:rRNA from 1 species
UACGGGGGGAGCAAGCGUUGUUCGGAUUUACUGGGCGUAAAGGGCGCGUAGGCGGUCGUGACAAGUCACUUGUGAAAUCUCCGGGCUUAACUCGGAACGGUCAAGUGAUACUGUCGGACUAGAGUACAGAAGGGGCAACUGGAAUUCUCGGUGUAGCGGUGAAAUGCGUAGAUAUCGAGAGGAACACCUGCGGCGAAGGCGGGUUGCUGGGCUGAUACUGACGCUGAGGCGCGAAAGCUAGGGGAGCGAACCGG